UACGUGAGGGUGCGAGCGUUAAUCGGAAUUACUGGGCGUAAAGCGUGCGCAGGCGGUGAUGUAAGACCGAUGUGAAAUCCCCGGGCUUAACCUGGGAACUGCAUUGGUGACUGCAUUGCUGGAGUAUGGCAGAGGGGGGUGGAAUUCCACGUGUAGCAGUGAAAUGCGUAGAGAUGUGGAGGAACACCGAUGGCGAAGGCAGCCCCCUGGGCCAAUACUGACGCUCAUGCACGAAAGCGUGGGGAGCAAACAGG
rnacentral:rRNA from 1 species